rnacentral:rRNA from 1 species
UGGGGAAUAUUGGACAAUGGGCGCAAGCCUGAUCCAGCCAUGCCGCGUGAGUGAUGAAGGCCCUAGGGUUGUAAAGCUCUUUCACCGGUGAAGAUAAUGACGGUAACCGGAGAAGAAGCCCCGGCUAACUUCGUGCCAGCAGCCGCGGUAAUACGAAGGGGGCUAGCGUUGUUCGGAUUUACUGGGCGUAAAGCGCACGUAGGCGGACUUUUAAGUCAGGGGUGAAAUCCCGGGGCUCAACCCCGGAACUGCCUUUGAUACUGGAAGUCUUGAGUAUGGUAGAGGUGAGUGGAAUUCCGAGUGUAGAGGUGAAAUUCGUAGAUAUUCGGAGGAACACCAGUGGCGAAGGCAGCUCACUGGACCAUUACUGACGCUGAGGUGCGAAAGCGUGGGGAGCAAACAGG